GAGAGAAGAGCCAGUGGUAAGUCCCUAUCUAUCUUAUUAAGACAUUGUGUUCGACACGUGAUAUGAUGGUUACUUAUCCAGAAGUGAGCUCCAGGAUGAGCAGUCAAGCUAGGAAAAUGAGCAAAGAUGCUAAACAAUGUGUGAGCAACUGAAAUAAACAAACGGCACAAGUCGUGCACUCUCCUGUUCACAGAGACGACCCUGGAGCACUCCUCCAAAUCACUUGACUUCUAUUUGGACUUCAAAUAGAAACUGGAAGUAGUUGAUUGCUAAGAAAGAAAAAGGAUGUAGUCCAAGUCAGGCAAUGGAAACCAGCAAGAAGCCGGCAAUGAUGACAAAAGAAGUGCCUAAACCUAAAACACAGGAAAAAAUAAAUCGUCACCACUUAUCAAUGUAGAGUUACUGUGGGUAGGAUAAACUAAAAAUACAUAAGCAAAACACAAGAUUAAUUAACUCUCUGAUAUCAGGGAGUAUGAGAUCUGUGUUAGGAAGACAAAUGAUGUAUUUUAAAAAAUAGUUCCAACAGAAGAAAAGCAGGGAGACACUAUGAAAAUAGAAGGGACAUCACUAGAAUAGAGGAGGGAGGUUCAAGGAGGAGGGAAGAGGUACAGGAAAAGGAGGAACUACGGAAUGAAAUUGACCAAAUUAUACUAUUUAUGUAUAUGAAUAUGCC
rnacentral:lncRNA from 1 species